GGACAGCUUCAGAAGGCAAGCAAAGAGAGGCUGAGGAUUAAUCUGGAGUUUAACACAAACAUGUGAAAACUCAAGCCCACAGAGAGGAAAUAACACCACUUUUUCCCACUUCAGUGGAAGAGAUCGCUGGGUCACUGCAGCUCAGACUCAGCUUCUUCAUUGGAAAUGUCUUGCUGCCAAUGCCAAUGAACAGGGAAGCCAGUAGGAUGGGUGACAAAACUUCAGGCUGUUGCCAAGAGGGAAGGGGGCACUUGCUGACGCCAGCAUGAACACUGCUACGGAAGCAGCCCUUUCUGCACUAAGGGCACCUCAGGCUGGCACCUCAUCCCAGCAUCCACGAGCCUGACUCUCUGCCUGAGCCAUGCAGUCCUGGGAAACACACACACACAAACACACAUAAAGGGCAGCCCAUUAAAAAGGAUGUAACUCUUGAGCAAAGAACCAAGGCAUGAAGGCCGCACAAGGGCUCUCAGCCUCUGACCUCUGCUUUACCAGGUGACAGCACCUUUCUCUGGGGUGACUUGUGAGCAAUUUCAGAGGAGUGUGCAUGUGUUUUUAAACAAAGACACUGGAGCUCCUUGGUCACUGCUCAGGACCCAGUGUUGUUUCCUUUUUCAGCCUUCUUAAAUCAACCUACCUAUCUUCCACAGCCAUUACUAAACAUCCUCAAAUCCUCUGUGGUCAGAAACUACUGUUUGCUUGAAACACAGGGUCGUUUAUAUGCUGGAAUAUGACACAUCUUAGAAACGGCAAAUCAAGGAGCAUUCUAAAAAUGAAGCACUGGCAAGAACACAAAAGGCCUCCAAAGACAAAGCCAUAUCCAUGGCAACCACAGGCGACCCAGCAGAAGAGAGAGCACAUCAGACCCCGAGCAUAAUAGCCCUGUUUACUGAUGACUAAAGUCUGGAAAGCAGUACCGUACACUCCAGCUCAGGCAGGCCUCCAGCCCGUCCUCGUCCUCCAGACCCCGCGGUCUGUAAUCAGAGACACAGAAAGGAAAAGAAGCCCUUUUCCCAGCUCUCAAAUGUUCCGCCUCCUUGGGAGAGAGGAAUGCACCCCUUCUCAUGAGCCUCCUGAUGGCACAGGAAAGGAAAUGGUGGCCAACUGGAGAAGAAGGCAGAGAUGGAGCAAGUCAUGCUGGUGCUGUGGGGCAUACUUGUUGGAGCCCUCAGUGCCCUGGGGCUUCCCUGCCCAGCUGGGCACACUCUGGGGCCAGUCCCUGCAGGAACAGCCUCGCAGAGAGCCAACGCCCUGAGAUAGAGGCGCACACAGAGGCCAGUUCACACUAGAACUUAGUUCACAGCCAAGUGUCUUGUGAUUGGCCCUGUGACCCUCUUCUUGCACCAACGUGCCUAAUUCUAUGUCUUUUCAUCUUCCCAAUAAAACCCCGGUAAGCACA